rnacentral:rRNA from 1 species
GUCUGCUUGGAGCUAUAAGAAGUCUAGCCUGCUCUCUGAUGAAUUUAAGGGCCGCGGUAAUUUGACCGUGCAAAGGUAGCAUAAUAGUUAGUUUUUUAAUUGGAAUCUUGUAUGAAUGGUUGGACAAAAGAAAUACUGUCUCUAUAAUUUUGUUUGAAUUUAACUUUUAAGUGAAAAGGCUUAAAUAUAUUAAAAAGACGAUAAGACCCUAUAAAGCUUUAUAAGAAAAUUUUAUUUGGUUAAUUUAAUAAAUAAAAUCCUAAUAUUUGUUCUUAUUUUAUUGGGGAGAUAAAAUUAUAAUUUUAUGUAACUGAUUAAAGAUGAAACAAAAAUAAAUGUUUAAUUAAAAAUAAUGAUCCUUUUUAAAGAUUAAAAGUUCAA